CCCUUAGAUGUCCGGGGCCGCACGCGCGCUACACUGAUGCAUUCAACGAGUUUCUUCCUGGUCCGAGAGGAAUGGGUAACCUUUUGAAAGUGCAUCGUGAUAGGGAUAGACUAUUGCAAUUAUUGGUCUUCAACGAGGAAUUCCUAGUAGACGUAGUUCAUCAGACUGCAUCGAUUACGUCCCUGCCCUUUGUACACACCGCCCGUCGCUCCUACCGAUUGAAUGCUCAGGUGAGCCAUUCGGACUUUCAUCAUGCUGGUUUCCAGUUUUGAUGAAGGAAAGUCUUGCGAACCUUAUCAUUUAGAGGAAGGAGAAGUCGUAACA
rnacentral:rRNA from 1 species